AUACGUAGGGAGCGAGCGUUGUCCGGAAUUACUGGGUGUAAAGGGUGCGUAGGCGGGAUGGCAAGUCAGAUGUGAAAUGCCGGGGCUCAACCCCGGAGCUGCAUUUGAAACUGUCGUUCUUGAGUGAGGUAGAGGUAAGCGGAAUUCCUAGUGUAGCGGUGAAAUGCGUAGAUAUUAGGAGGAACAUCGGUGGCGAAGGCGGCUUACUGGGCCUUUACUGACGCUGAGGUACGAAAGCGUGGGGAGCAAACAGGAUUAGAUACCCUGGUAGUCCACGCUGUAAACGAUGAUGACUAGGUGUGGGGGGACUGAACCCUUCCGUGCCGCAGUAAACACAAUAAGUCAUCCACCUGGGGAGUACGGCCGCAAGGUUGAAACUCAAAUGAAUUGACGGGG
rnacentral:rRNA from 1 species